UACAGAGGGUGCAAGCGUUAAUCGGAAUUACUGGGCGUAAAGCGUGCGUAGUCGGCAAUUUAAGUCGGGUGUGAAAUCCCCGGGCUCAACCUGGGAAUUGCAUUCGAUACUGGAUCGCUAGAGUUCGGCAGAGGGAAGUGGAAUUUCUGGUGUAGCGGUGAAAUGCGUAGAUAUCAGAAGGAACAUCAGUGGCGAAAGCGACUUCCUGGACCAGAACUGACGAUCAGGCACGAAAGCGUGGGGAGCAAAC
rnacentral:rRNA from 1 species